CCUCUCGGUUUUUCUUUCCGUAGACCUCUUUUCAGACCUCUUAUCCUCUUCCUCUUCCUCUUAUCCUCUUCCUCUCGGUUCAUCUGCUCUGCUGCUACUCUGCUACUCCGCCACCUACCCGUGCUUCCUCCCUCUUCGUCUUCUCCUCCAGCAAUUUGUGCCCUUAGUUCUCAAUAUGAUUCACAGUAAAAACCCAGAAACUUAGAGAGUAAAAAUGUUGAAACUUAAAGAUCUUACCCCGCAGUGCUCAAUCUAGAGAAUUGGUACUCAUAAUCAAUAAGAUUCGUACGGCUUAUUGGUAUCAAUUUUGGUUGCAGCAAUGCUAUUCUUGCUGAAGACCUGCCAUCAACUCUUGCAUAGCGAAAUGACUCCCACCACCCAACAAACGCAACUGCUGCAAUUUCAAUUGCAGUUCUUGAAGAAAGAAUUGCAGACGGUUUGAAUUUUGGAUGGAGUUUAGAAUAUUUGUAAGUUGGUUCUGUUGUGGGAUCUCCAUGUAGCAAAUUUAUCCUACUUUGUAUUUCUAAAAUCGUAGGUUAGUUUGUCUAUUGUAGCUAUAUAAUUCUUCCAUGUUUUUCAGAUCAUGGAGUGAGUUUCUCAUGCUGAGAUUGUAACCCAAUCAAUAACUUUUGAUAUUGGAUUAUUAUCGACGUGUUCAAGGACGUUUACGUUCGACCUGGCAAUGAGAUCGCUGAGCAGCUUCAUGCUACUAUGGUGGAAAAGGGCGAUGCUGUUCUCCAAGAAGCAACAUCGCAACUUCCCUCGGAAACCCCGAUGGAGGACGUCACUUUACCCGAGGAUGUAGGUUUUCAGAUCAUGACUGAGGUCCUGGAUCAAAAGUACGGUCGUCGUCAUGGCAAGGUUGUUCAGGGUAUGGGGAAGGCGCGGGUUCGUGAGACGGGUGCCUCUUCUUCCAAAUCGACCACAGGAGAGGUCAACGCCCUGAAGGAGGAAGUGACAACCCUUAAAGGUCAGCUUGCAGCCCAGGACGAGCAGAUAAAGGCCCAAAGUGAGCAGAUGAGGGCCCAAAGCGAGCAUAUAAAGGCGGAGAACGAGCAGAUGAGAGCUGAGAACGAACAGAUGAGAGCCCAGAUGAGUAUGAUUGUACAGGCCUUAGCGGUGUCCGGUCUCCAAAUCCAGCUGCCAGCACCUGAUCUUACUCCACCUUCGACCUCCCAGCCACCUCACUUACCCAAUACCCAGUAGUUUUCAAACCUAGAAGACUACUUGUUGUAGUUUUUUCUUUUUUUGUUUAGACAUCUUGUAUGCACAUUUUCAUAUAUAUGG